GGGCACAACUCUGGAGGAGAAACGCGCUUCAGUAGGCUCGGGAAAGCGCGGCUCGCUAUAGCCUAAACCGCAGGGACUGGGACCCAGCCCCGAGCCUCGGGCUUCUGAACGGUUUCUUUCCCAGUGCCCAGUAUGGUGAUGUAGCCACCCAUCGGUGAAGCGCCUCAAGAGGCAAAGAACCACGAGGAGG
rnacentral:lncRNA from 1 species